rnacentral:lncRNA from 1 species
UUUUCGAGAGCUAGAGAAUCGAAUUCUGCAAAACUGCAGAUUUUCAGCUCUCGGGGACCGGUCCCUAAAGGGAGAGACCGGUCCCCGAACGCGUGCAGAAUGAGACAGCCGAAAAAUCGGCUAAGUCCUGGAAGGAUAGCUCUCGGGAACCGGUCUCUGCCUGAGAGACCGGUCCCCCAGAGACCGGUCCCAUAAGGAGAGACCGGUUGCACUGCGCGCAGCAGCUCUGGCUGCGCAGGGUGGACGUUCGGGAACCGGUCCCUGCUCGGGGAGACCGGUCUCUGCCUGCGCGGAAUGCCCAGUUCGGGCAGUGCAUUAAGGUGAAAGUUGAGGGGUUUAAUAGCAUUUUUGCAGCCCAAAGGUUAUGUAGUGAGGGUAAAUGAGAUAUUUCUCUCAUUUCACCCCUCUCACACUCUCUUCUCUCCCUCUCUCUCU